CUCUCUCUCUCUUCAAAUUCUAGAUGUGUUGUUGUUGUUGUUGUUGUCUGUCUGUCUCAAACUAUCUCUGUCAAUCAGUUCUGUCUUUUUUCCUUCUUUGUCAGGCAUUGGAUUUUGAUUCAUAGACAUUUUUGAGGUUUCUGAUAUGUUUACUCUGUGUGGAUUUUGUUUCAGGAAAUGAAGAGGAGAAGCGCUUCUGGUAUGGGACUCAGUGUGAUCGUUCUUUAGAAACAAAAAUUAUCCUUGACAAGAAGCCGUUGGAGUUGGUCCUAGACAAACUUCAAAAGUACCUAACUACUCUGGAGUUUUAAAGAGCUUCCUGAUUAUCAUGAGAGAAUCCCAUGGACUUUUCAGAGUGAGGAAGAAGAAGCUUACGAAUGGAUCAUAUUCUACAUUGGAAGAGCUUGAGUGUGUUUUUGCUAGGAUCAGGUCUAUAGUCCAUCAUCUAUAUGGUUGCUAAGCUGGUUUUUGGCAUCUAUCUCAGGAAUUUGUGGAUGAAUUCGAAGAAUUUGUCAAAGACCAAGUUCGAGCAGCAAAAAGAGCAAAUAGAGAGGCCGGAGAUGCUCAAGAGAAAGCAAUAGAAGAAAUGAGCGAAGAAACUAAGGAAGCCUUUGAAAACAUGAAGUUCUACAUAUUCUACCCUCGGCUUUCACCGGACGUCCCUAGAUUCCAGACGGUAAGAACAAGAGAUAACUAAACUCUCCCCCUUAAGUCAUAUUGUUUUUUUUUUCAAAAUUUAAGUCAUAAGAAACCUGCAAUUUGAAAUGGGUUUUGACUUUUGAGUAUAGUUUGUCACAAAAGCUCUGAAUAUUGUAUGGGAUUUGUGAAUCAUCUUUCUUUUUUAUGAA